UACGUAGGAGGCAAGCGUUGUCCGGAUUUACUGGGCGUAAAGCGUGCGCAGGCGGCUUCUCAAGUCAGGGGUGAAAGCCCAGAGCUCAACUCUGGAAUUGCCUUUGAGACUGAGUGGCUUGAGUACGAGAGAGGUGAGUGGAAUUCCCAGUGUAGAGGUGAAAUUCGUAGAUAUUGGGAAGAACACCGGUGGCGAAGGCGGCUCACUGGCUCGUAACUGACGCUCAUGCACGACAGCGUGGGGAUCAAACAGG
rnacentral:rRNA from 1 species